GCGCGUGACACAGUGAUGGGAGCACUGACUGCGUUAUACUCCAGAGAGCUAGUGAACUCGCAGACAAGUCAUUUGUUUUCUAAAAAAAGGUUAAAUCCUUAUUUUGGCUGAAAUGUACCACUGGCCUGAAGCUCCCAAGGUCUAAGCAAAGCCAUCUGUCACAGUCAGCUGGGCUGGACUGCAGGAAAGUGGCCUUCCAUAUCUUUUAGAGACAGGAUCAGCGAGAUCAGAUAAAAAGCCUGACUCAUGAUUUUCUAGCACUCCAGAUUAGCCGCUGCAAAGGUCCUGCUCACAUAGGCUGCCAUGUGCCUAUUAAAUGCAUCAAUUAAUUGCAGCUCAUGGUUGUCACGCAAGGAAAGACAUGGGUUCUGAAGCAGCCACGGCUCUACUCAUUUGCAGCCAAAACCGGAUGCCCAGCUGUCCUGAAGUAGCACUGAAGUCGCACGCAGUGAAAAUUCUGCAACUCUGAUAGAAGAAUAAUUGCCUGCUCUCUCGGAAGGUGUAUUACAGUUUACCUGUCCCCCUACACAACACAAGUCACAGCUGUCUUCAACUGGAGCCAAAAGAUGUUGCUGCAGUGUGAAGAAAACAUGAGCAAUUUCAGACCACACUGUGUUCUGGUCUCCAGGAAUACAGACAGCAGCUUGUUCCACGUCCGCUACAUCCAUCGCUGGACUUAGGAGAAAAGAGUGGUUGUGAAUGCAGCAAACAGAAUGGUGUAUGCAGAAAACGGAACAGCGUUUCAGUAUAGGAUCCCUGACAUAAUGAGAGAGCUGGCAGUAAAUAAAAGACAAGAUGAGAAUCAAUAGCUUGUGGAAGAGAAAAAGAACAUCAAAGAAAAUACAAGAAAAUACAAAGAGGAAAAAGAUUCUGCUCUACGGGGAUCUGAAAGAGCUUUUCCGAUCAACAAUUCAUUGAAUGAAGUCUCCAGAAAUCUGCUGUUGUCCUUUCCAUCCUGAGCUGACCUUGAGCUAUUUAAGCCUAGAUGGAUUUCAACUCCAUAGUCCCACCAGCCUACAGAUUCUCCUCCCUGCACCCCACCUGGGAUAAGAGAGGCUUUUCAGAACACGUUAGAGGAGGUCUGCUAAAUGAUGCAUUGAAAAGAGCUGGAGGGAAAAACAACUUUAUCAUCUUGCGGCUUGAGCAGAAGAGGAUGGGGUUCCUCAGUGCUUUAAAAGAUAAUGAAAAAAAAAAAAAUCCAGGCAGAGAGCAAUGCAAAAGGGAGAAUUAAUACUUUUUGAUGGAUGAAUAAAAUGUGUUCAACACAGAGCAAAGUCCCAAGAGAGCCCUAGGCACUGCAUGUUCAGAUUAAUGCAAAUUCCAUUCUAGUAUGACUUUUCCUCGGAAGACAAAAGAGUAAAGGAGUUUGGGAGAAAAGAUCUGUCCACCUGCCAAGGAGAUAUGUUAUGAAGGAGCAUGGGAGUGAGACACCGGAGAAGUUCCUGUUCAGAAUUUAGAUUCAGCAAGUCAGACAAUAGAAUUUCUUGUGAUGACUGAGGCUGUUUCAUUCAGUGGUUCCUGAUCCGAAGUUUAGCACUUCUGAUCUGGAUUCUGGUGCCAAUGUUUGUAGUAGAUGCAAGAAACAAAUGCAAUAGCUCAUGAAAGUGGUAGAACUUUGAGAGCUGUUCACAGGCUUCAUGCACCAGCAGGAACUUCAGUGAUGGGUCUGGGUAUGCUGGCAGAGCUCCAAGGCAAGGGGCUGUAUAGAUCUUCAUUGUUUGACCUGAACACCAGUGAUCAACCUUCACAAAUGUCACUCUAAAACUACUGCCUCUGCCAAAACACUGCUAGAAGAGCAAUCUAUCCACAAAUGAUUGACAUCCUAAAACUUGCCAAGUGCCCCAUGCAAUGCCUCAAUGCCAGCCUGACUCUAUCACUGCGAUACAAGAGAUCACAGAGAGCAGAAGCUGGAAAAACCCUUCCACUUGCUUGCGUUGAGGAUCAUGAUUUGCCUAACCCUGUGUGAAGGAUCACAGCAGGAGACACUAUGGAAAGGAAAGGAAAGGAGUGAAAAGGGGCAAAACAGGACAAACUUUCCCAGCAGCAUUCUCCUCCCCUACUGAGCAGUUAUCCCCUCCGCCCUUGGAAACAUGCAGCAGCAUUUCUUAAAGAGUCAGGUCAGCAUCUCUCAGUAGGACAAGCCUCCAUAGUUCAGACAUUUCUCAAGUGCUCAUUUAUUCAGAUCUUAGCCCCGCUGAAAUAAAAAACUAGCAGAAGAGCAGAUUCUGCUCCUCUACCACCCUCUGUUUGAAGCUAUUCAGUUGCUUCAGAAAUCUCAGGAACCGAAUGCAAAUAUUCAAGGAAAUCCCAAUAUAACGUGGCAUCACUACCUCCAGUCCUCCU